GAGCGGUUGGCGCAAUGGUAGCGCGUGGUCCUCCUACACAUGAGUGUCGAGACUGAGGUUGAGGGUUCGAGUCCCUUAUCGCUCG